CCCUUUUUAUGUAACCGAUCGUGUACCUGACGCCACUCAUACAACCCCAGACACCAACAACAAUGCUGGGAAAAUAGUGGGCAGUGUUGGUGUACUUGUGCCAAGUCUUCUACUUUACCUCAGUCUCCUCCUGCUUCAUUGAGAAGGAAGGAGUCACAGUAAAAUGGCUGCUGUGAUGUCCCCUGAAUCUACCACCCUCCCAAACACCGGGAAUGGUUCAUAUACUUUAAAAGGAAUCUCUAUUACACGAUGAUUAGAAACCUCCUGAUGAAGAAUGUAUUGGUUCACUUCCAUUUGGGAGCUUGUGCUUAAGGAGUGGCCUAACUUGAUUACUUGUAUGUUUCCAGUGUACUUCACAAAUCACUCCUAGUCUGAUCCUGAUUUAACUCAUUGCAACAUUCUCAUGUUAAAAUUCACCCAUAUGUAGGGUCUCUGAUUUUCUGGGUGAACAUGCCUCACAAAGCCAAUUUUGCCACCUCUGGGGGGGGUUGAAGGAAAUCAUAUCUGUUAAGAUAAACAAAACAUUUGUAAUUUAGUUGAGCAACUUACAGUAGUGAGUGCAUACAUUUUCAUACAAGACCCACAAUAUGUAAGUCAUACCACCAAAGGCCUUCACUGGUUUGAUAGACCAGAACAUCUGGUUCAAUGUGAAUCAAUGGGCUUUCACCAAGUUUCGCUCUAGUCAUUGAUAAGUAGUAAUUGUGUUAUUGUGACGUGAAUCUGAAAAGCUUGGAUUUAUUAGGAUAACUCUUGGAACACCGGAGACAAUGACUGCUAAAGGAAUUGAUGCUUUAUACUUAUUUUUUAAAGUGCUAGUUCUUUGAGGGAUCAAGGACUCUUGCUCAUGAUCCAGAUUUGGAGUCUUUAUUUGCACUAUUAUUUUGCAGUUCUACUGUAGAUAAGCCAAUUAAAUAUAUAUUUUGUAAAUUAAUGUAAAUAAGUUUGAAUGAAAAUGUUGCAAGAGUCUCUUCCAACAGGACCACUGGAUCAUGGUGUUCUAUAGGCAGGAAACCUGUAGCUCUCGGUAAUAUCAGGCUCAGCUUAAUGCAUUUUGAAUGUUCAACGUGCUCUGGAUUCUUCACUAUGUCAAGGGAAAAUACCAAACAUUCUGCAGUUGUAGCCUUUAUUUCUUUCUAUUAUCUUGACAUUUCCCACUGCCCUUUUAUUCCAGGCUGUCCUAAUGAAAGUAACACAUUUAAUAUGUUGUGUGAGCACUAAUAGCACUUGUUUUCAUAACACUAGGGGUUGCUUCAUAUAUGAAACCAGGUUCUUAUUUAGUAGGGCAAGUUUAGAAUGUUGCAAAUAAAAGUAUAAUCAAUAUUGGAGUUCAGUGUCUAUUGUAUAGUCCAUUUGAAUUAGCUUUAUUCUGAUCAAUGUACCUUACUAAGUAAGCAUAUCGGUGUUAAACAUAACCAAACAAUACAAUUUUCAUCCUUUUUCCAUAAAUGUCAUCUUUCAUUUGAUCUUAAACUACAAUAUCCAACAGAGGAGCACAGAAUUCACAAAAUGAAGUAUUAAUGUGUGUUUGAAGUAUUCUGUGGAUCUCACCUCUGUCCCUAUAUGCUGUACUUUUCUCUUUGGUUUCCGUCUGUGUCUGGAACCUGUUCAAUUAUCAGUGUGGAACCACAUUAAACUAGUAUGUUGUGGGCAGCCAGUUAUGAAACAUGUUUGUUGCACUUGUUUGAUUAAAAUGAACUUAAUGUACCAAUCAAUUAAACCUC